rnacentral:lncRNA from 1 species
GCAUGGGUAGGUCUACAGAUUGGGGUUGCCCACCCCAACCAUGUAUAACACACACACACAGCUGGUGUCAUCCAUAAGUAAAAGAAGACGGAGGAGGGCGAGUUGUGGCGCAUGUGCGCCAGAUUGCUCAUGAGACUCUCGAGUCCUGAGUACCUGCCCCGAGGUACUGGUAGGGUGCCGCGACGGGGUUUGUUGGGGGGUUGUACGACUCAUUUAACGACCCCUCGUGGG